UCAACUUGAGAGUUUGAUUCUGGCUCAGAACGAACGCUGGCGGCAGGCUUAACACAUGCAAGUCGAACGAUAUAGUGGCAGACGGGUGAGUAACGCGUGGGAACGUACCUUUCACUACGGAAUAGCUCUUGGAAACGAGUGGUAAUACCGUAUACGCCCUUCGGGGGAAAGAUUUAUCGGUGAAAGAUCGGCCCGCGUUAGAUUAGCUAGUUGGUAGGGUAAUGGCCUACCAAGGCGACGAUCUAUAGCUGGUCUGAGAGGAUGAUCAGCCACACUGGGACUGAGACACGGCCCAGACUCCUACGGGAGGCAGCAGUGGGGAAU
rnacentral:rRNA from 1 species